GGACCUUCUGAUCUGCUGGGCAUUGCUCUGCAGUGUGCUCAGCUCCCUGCCUCCGUUUCCCUGUUCCACUUGUCCCGGCUCCCUGGCCUGUUUCAUUUACCUCCAUCAUGGGGGCAUGGCACAGGUCCAAUUUGGCUUCAGUGUUCAUUGUCUCCUGGGAGUGCACCACCGUCGUGUUCAGUUCACAUUUUGUAAUUUAACUUUUGUAGUCUUUGUUCUCGGCACGGUGUAAGUGCUUGAAUGAUCCAGAAUAAAGGGGGCCUGAGGAGAAGAAGGGAUAGAACAGUCCAAGUUAAAUGCCAGCCUUCACAAAGAUAGAUGAGACGGCCCAGUGCUAACCACAUUCAACAAGCAUAUGGAGCCCUGUAGGCCUUACAAUGCGGUUCCCAGGUCUGCGGUCUGCAUUGCUAAUAAGCUCCUAGGCUAUCUCACUAACAGCAAUGCCACCUCCAUUUACCCUAAACAAAGAGGUCAAAGGCAUUUCCCAAGAUCAGAGUCUAGGAAAUAACCAAGAGUGCAGUUUGGCUGACUUACACUAAUCUGUCCUCACACUUAGGGACUUCACACACCAACCCCUUCCGCCAACACUGUCCCUCUUCCCCAAACAACAGCAAGACUUCUGCACCGCCGCUGCUCCCAAUCAGAAACCAGCUUCUUUGCAUCAGCAAGAAAAAGGAGUUGGAAUAAGCCACUCCGUGACUUGCCCUUUCCUCUCUGUGACCCCCCACCCUAUUCCCCUGGGUGAGUUCUCUUCCUGGUAUUGGUGACUUGGCAAACCUACUGAAUUUGAACUGGUGGUGGGAGUGGGUCAGGGCUGGGAAUCUGAGGCUUUGCCACCACUGCCUGAGCACUGAAAAGCCUCAGGACAAUUACAGCAAACUGAGGGAUCUGGGUUGAAGCCUUUUCUUUUCGUCAGAGGAAUCACUGCUAUUGGCCUGCCCUAGUGUGCUUGGCAUUUAGAAAAGGCUCGAUGCAUUGCUGUCGAAGAAACGAAUGAA